AUGCCAUGUUGGGGACACUUCAGGAGUAGUCCUUUAAAUCUUUCCCAUGCCUCGUACAAGGUUUCACUUUCUUUUUGUUCAAAAGCAGUGAUCUCAGCUUUGAGUCU